rnacentral:rRNA from 1 species
UGGGGAAUAUUGGACAAUGGGCGCAAGUCUGAUCCAGCCAUGCCGCGUGAGUGAUGAAGGCCCUAGGGUUGUAAAGCUCUUUCACCGGUGAAGAUAAUGACGGUAACCGGAGAAGAAGCCCCGGCUAACUUCGUGCCAGCAGCCGCGGUAAUACGAAGGGGGCUAGCGUUGUUCGGAUUUACUGGGCGUAAAGCGCACGUAGGCGGACUAUUAAGUCAGGGGUGAAAUCCCGGGGCUCAACCCCGGAACUGCCUUUGAUACUGGUAGUCUUGAGUUCGAGAGAGGUGAGUGGAAUUCCGAGUGUAGAGGUGAAAUUCGUAGAUAUUCGGAGGAACACCAGUGGCGAAGGCGGCUCACUGGCUCGAUACUGACGCUGAGGUGCGAAAGCGUGGGGAGCAAACAGG